UUUGGGGGAAUUCAGGAGGUUUAGGGGGGAAAUCGGGGGGUUUUGAGGGAGAUUUGGGGAAAUUUAGGAGGUUUAGGGGGAAAUUUGGAGGAAUUUAGGAGGUUUUGAGGGAGACUUGGGGAAAUUCGGGGGGUUUUGAGGGAGAUUUGGGGGAGAUUUGUGGAAAUUCAGGAGGUUUAGGGGGAGAUUCGGAUAAAUUCAGGAGGAUUUGAGGGAAAUUUAGGAGGUUUAGGGGGAGAUUUGUGGAAAUUCAGGAGGGUUUGAGGGAAAUUCAGGAGGUUUAGGGGGAAAUUCAUGAAGUUUUGAGGGAGAUUUGAAUAAAUUCAGGAGGUUUUGGGGGAAAUUCAAAAGGUUUUGGGGGAGAUUUGGGGGAAUAUGGGAGAUUUAGGGAGAGAUUUGGGAGUUUUGAGGGAGAUUUGGGGAAAUUCAGGAGGGUUUGAGUGAAAUUCGGGAGGUUUUGGGGGAAAAUUUGGGAAAAUUCAGGAGGUUUUUGGUGAGAUUUGUGGAAAUUUAGGAGGUUUUGGGGAAAAUCAGGAGGGUUUGGGGGAAAUUCAUGAGGUUUUAGGGGAGAUUUGCAAAAAUUCAGGGGGUUUGGGGGGAGAUUUGUGGAAAUUUAGGAGGUUUUAGGGGAAAUCUGGAGGAAAUCAGGGGAUUUUGGGGGAGAUUUGUAAAAAUUUAGGAGGUUUAGGGGGAGAUUUGGGGAAAAUUAGAGGUUUUGGGGAAGAUUUGGGGAAAUUCAGGUGGGUUUGAGGGAAAUUCAGGAGGUUUUGAGGGAAAUUUAGGAGGUUUAGGGGGAGAUUUGUAGAAAUUUAGGAGAUUUUGAGGGAGAUUUGGGGAAAUUUAGGAGGUUUUGAGGGAAAUUAAUGAGGUUUUGGGGGAGAUUUCGGGAAGUUAAUGAGAUUUUAGGGGAGAUUUGGGGGAAUUCAGGAGGUUUAGGGGAAAUUUGUGGAAAAUCAGGAGGUUUUGAGGAAAAUUUGGAGAAAUUUAGGAGGUUUUGAGGGAAAUUUGUGAAAAUUUAGGAGGUUUUGGGGGAAAUUUUGGUAAAAUCAGGAGGUUUUGGGGCGAUUUGAGAGUUUUUAGGGGAGAUUUGGGAGGUUUUGGGGAAAAUUUGGGAGGUUUUUUAAGGAUUUAGGGGAAAUCUGGAGGAUUUGGGUCCCUCUGGGAGGAGAUUUGGGGGAAAUUUGGAGUUUUCAGGCAGAUUUUGGGGUGAAAUCGGAAAAUUUUGGGCAAAAUCUGGAGAUUUUGAGGUGAGAUUGGCGAAUUUUGAAACGAAAUUGGGAAAUUUUGGGGUUAAAUUGGGAUUUUGGGGUCAAACCAGUGGGUAUUGGGGUCACUGGGGAAGCCCCGCCCCCAAUUCGGGAAGCCACGCCCCAAUUAGUGAAGCCACGCCCCCAUUUCACGAAGCACCGCCCCUUUCCAGGACCCUGCGCUCCCCAUUGGCCGGUGGGCGGUGACGUCAUCGCGGCAGAACCAAUCAGAGCCUGGAGCUCCGGAGCCCCCCCAGCCUGAGGAGAGCCCCCC